CGGGGUGAGUAACGCGUGGGUAACCUGCCUCAUACAGGGGGAUAACAGUUAGAAAUGGCUGCUAAUACCGCAUAAGACCACGGCACUGCAUGGUACAGUGGUAAAAACUCCGGUGGUAUGAGAUGGACCCGCGUCUGAUUAGGUAGUUGGUGAGGUAACGGCCCACCAAGCCGACGAUCAGUAGCCGACCUGAGAGGGUGACCGGCCACAUUGGGACUGAGACACGGCCCAG
rnacentral:rRNA from 1 species